GCGUCGUUAGCUCAGUUGGUAGAGCAGUUGCCUUUUAAGCAAAUGGUCACAGGUUCAAAUCCUGUACGACGCACUA
rnacentral:tRNA from 1 species